GUAGGUGGCAAGCGUUGUCCGGAAUUAUUGGGCGUAAAGCGCGCGCAGGUGGGUUCUUUAAGUCUGAUGUGAAAGCCCCCGGGCUCAACCGGGGAGGGUCAUUGGAAACUGGGGAACUUGAGUGCAGGAGAGGAAAGUGGAAUUCCACGUGUAGCGGUGAAAUGCGAAGAUAUGUGGAGGAACACCAGUGGCGAAGGCGACUUUCUGGCCUGUAACUGACACUGAGGCGCGAAAGCGUGGGGAGCAAACAGGAUUAGAUACCCUGGUAGUCCACGCCGUAAACGAUGAGUGCUAAGUGUUGGGGGGUUUCCGCCCCUCAGUGCUGCAGCUAACGCAUUAAGCACUCCGCCUGGGGAGUACGGUCGCAAGACUG
rnacentral:rRNA from 1 species